GAUGAAGAACGUAGCGAAAUGCGAUACUUGGUGUGAAUUGCAGAAUCCAGUGAACCAUCGAGUCUUUGAACGCAAGUUGCGCCCGAAGCCAUUAGGCCGAGGGCACGCCUGCCUGGGCGUCACACGUCGUUGCCCCCCCCAUCUACUCCUUCGGGAUUGCGGGGGGCGGAUGAUGGCCUCUCGUGCGCCUCGUCGCGCGGUUGGCCUAAAUGCCAAGUCCUCGGCGACGCACGCCACGACAAUCGGUGGUUGCGAAACCUCGGUUGCCUGUCGUGUGCGGUCGUCGCGCAUCGAGGGCUCGAAAAAAUUGCCGGGCUUCGGCUCGACUUUCAACGCGACCCCAGGUCAGGCGGGGUUACCCGCUGAAUUUAAGCAUAUCAAUAAGCGGAGGA
rnacentral:misc_RNA from 1 species